rnacentral:rRNA from 1 species
GCAAGUCGAACGGUAGCACAGAGGAGCUUGCUCCUUGGGUGACGAGUGCCUGACGGGUGAGUAAUGUCUGGGAAACUGCCCGAUGGAGGGGGAUAACUACUGGAAACGGUAGCUAAUACCGCAUAACGUCGCAAGACCAAAGAGGGGGACCUUCGGGCCUCUUGCCAUCGGAUGUGCCCAGAUGGGAUUAGCUAGUAGGUGGGGUAACGGCUCACCUAGGCGACGAUCCCUAGCUGGUCUGAGAGGAUGACCAGCCACACUGGAACUGAGACACGGUCCAGACUCCUACGGGAGGCAGCAGUGGGGAAUAUUGCACAAUGGGCGCAAGCCUGAUGCAGCCAUGCCGCGUGUAUGAAGAAGGCCUUCGGGUUGUAAAGUACUUUCAGCGAGGAGGAAGGUGUUGUGGUUAAUAACCACAGCAAUUGACGUUACUCGCAGAAGAAGCACCGGCUAACUCCGUGCCAGCAGCCGCGGUAAUACGGAGGGUGCAAGCGUUAAUCGGAAUUACUGGGCGUAAAGCGCACGCAGGCGGUCUGUCAAGUCGGAUGUGAAAUCCCCGGGCUCAACCUGGGAACUGCAUCCGAAACUGGCAGGCUAGAGUCUUGUAGAGGGGGGUAGAAUUCCAGGUGUAGCGGUGAAAUGCGUAGAGAUCUGGAGGAAUUACCGGUGGCGAAGGCGGCCCCCUGGACAAAGACUGACGCUCA